GGGGCUGUGGCUCAGUGGUAGAGCAUCUGCUUUGUAAGCAGAAGUUCCAGGUUCAAUCCCCGGUAGCUCCA